CCUACGGGAGGCUGCAGUCGAGAAUCAUUCACAAUGGGGGAAACCCUGAUGGUGCGACGCCGCGUGGGGGAAUGAAGGUCUUCGGAUUGUAAACCCCUGUCAUGUGGGAGCAAAUUAAAAAGAUAGUACCACAAGAGGAAGAGACGGCUAACUCUGUGCCAGCAGCCGCGGUAAUACAGAGGUCUCAAGCGUUGUUCGGAAUCACUGGGCGUAAGGCGUGCGUAGGCUGUUUCGUAAGUCGUGUGUGAAAGGCGCGGGCUCAACCCGCGGACGGCACAUGAUACUGCGAGACUAGAGUAAUGGAGGGGGAACCGGAAUUCUCGGUGGAGCAGUGAAAUGCGUAGAUAUCGAGAGGAACACUCGUGGCGAAGGCGGGUUCCUGGACAUUAACUGACGCUGAGGCACGAAGGCCAGGGGAGCGAAAGGGAUUAGAUACCCGAGUAGUC
rnacentral:rRNA from 1 species